rnacentral:rRNA from 1 species
GACGAACGCUGGCGGCGUGCUUAACACAUGCAAGUCGCACGGAGUGGCGAACGGGUGUGUCACACGUGGGUUAACUUCCCUGCACUUCGAGCUAAGCCUGGGACACUGGUUCUAAUACCGGUUAGUGUGGGAUGGGCCCGCGGCCUAUCAGCUUGUUGGUGGGGUAAUGGCCUACAAAGGCGGCGACGGGUAGCCGGCCUGAGAGGGUGGACCGCCACAUGGGGACUGAGACACGGCCCAGAAGCGUACGGGAGGCAGCAGGGGGGAAUAUGGCACAAUGGGCGGAAGCCUGAUGCAGCGACGCCGCGGGGGGGAGGACGGCCUUCGGGUUGUAAACACCUUUCACCAUCGACGCGGUAGAUGGAGAAGAAGCACCGGCUAACUACGUGCCAGCAGGCGCGGUAAGAC